CAUUUUUCUCGCUGCUCAGAAAAUAUCUUGCUUCCACCGACAGCCUCUCCGCGCCGCUCGGCCUCCCAUCCUCGCCGCCUCCGCUCCUCUCCUCCGCGCCGCCUCCCUCUCCUCCUCCCUUCCCUCCCGGUCGCUCCCCGCCCGCCUCUCUCCCCUCCGCCCGCGCCGGCCCCCUCGACCCCGCCGCCCGCGCAUGAGGGAGGGCGCGUAGGGGCUGGAUCUGGCCGGCGACCGCGCCGCGCCGUCUCCCUGCCGUCGGCGCCGCCUCUCCCCGCCACCCUCGCAGGCACGUUGCCCCUCUCUCAUCUCUAGGCUGGAGUUGCAGGGGAGUGGUCCAUGGUGGCUAGGAUUUGAUUGUGAUUUCUUGCGGCUGGUGGUGGUUAGGGUUUGGGAAUUUGGGGGAUUUUUCAAUUCUGGGACGUGGCCCUCUGCGUGCUAGAUCGAUUGGAUUUAGGAAUGCUCUUUCCUUAUUGUUUUUGCCUUGCUAGCAGAUAAAUUUUUUUUACCAUUCCCUUUUGUUUUUCAAGAUUAGCCUAGCAUUGUCUCUUACUGCCCACUGCAGCCGGAGUUGUUGUCUAUUCUCACAGUUUGCAAUUGAAUUCUUCUCUCUAAUUUAGACUAUUGUCUUGCUAUAUUGUUUCCUAUGUAGGUUUUCUCUUUAGCUUGCUCACAAAAAUUGUUUUCUUUGGGUGACAAACAAUUCCUGAAGUGACGUCCUCACGGAAAAGAUCCACUUCGUUUUAGAUGUUGGCUGGAAAAGCUCAGGCUUUUGUCGUCUCCCGCGUAGUGAAUUCAUGUGGCUUGCCUCGUCUGCAGCUUCUUAUUAUAUUUAUUCCGCAUAUAUGUAGGUACAACCAAUAUUGUGGUGCAACUACUAACGUUAUUUGGGUUUGCAGGUAAAGAUACAUUAGAGUUGAUAGAAAACCUGAAACCUCCAACAGGUGCAUCCUUUAACAGCACCCUCUUUAGAAAAAUAACUCUUCAUCCUUAUUCCAUUUGUAAUGUAUUGAACAAUAUAUAUUUGCAGUGCUUUUCUUUCUUUCCAUGGUAAGAUUUAUGGACUGAUAUAACAUGAAUGGCUCUGAAGCAUUACAUUUGUGAUGGAAGAAUUGAAUAAUUGAUGUUCAGUGUCGAGCUACAUGGCAGCCUGAGUGGUUCUCAUUAACUGAAUCUAGAUGUUUUUACCUCUGAUUAUUUUUAUCUCUUUAUGGUAGUGUUCAGUCUUGCCAGUAUUCAGUCACCUUGCACAUGACAUGACAAAUUGAGCUGUUAUGUGAUGGAAGGGUUGGUGAGACUGCACAAUAGUUAGGAGGGCAGCUCCCAGCUUAUGAUGGUAGGGAGAGAUGAAGCAGAGCUGUUUGAUGAUCAUUCUCUUCAAAGGAAUUUCGCAUCGCUCUGCUCUACGAAGGUGAUGAUUCUAGUGUGUAGAGACAUCCAAAAACUUUAAAGGUGCUGAUUAGAUUUGCUGCAACAACUGAUCUUCGCUGUCUUCAUCCAUUUGUAGUUGAAAGGUAGGCAGAGGUGCCUCAAGAGCUUUGCAUGUUCUUGGUAUUGUCUGGCAAAAGUUUCCAACAACAGAUAUCCACCAUUUGGAAGAUCUUUUCUCUCCUGACCUGGGGAGGAGAUGAGCCCUUGGUGAGGGAAUACAAAUCUGGUACAGCUACCCGUUACUGGUCAUCUAUUUUGUUGCCUGUCUAUCGAAUGCUGACAUCUACUCAAGGCCCUUCUCGGAUGUUGAUUGUGAGAAAAGGUUCUCAUUUUUGAGAAAGAAGUUGGUAGUGUAUGGUUUUCCUAGAAAGGUACCCACCAUAGGCUAAACUGGGACAUACUGGAUGAUAAAUCAACAUAUCCUGAUCUUUCUGCUUUGCCUGGCCACAUUCAACUUUUUGCUCAAUUUAUUGGAACUAAAGGAUAAUAGGGCAAAGCAAUAUGCUUCACCAGACCUGAGCACAUACUGAAAGUUUGGUGCCAAAGUUCCAAUGUUCAGAUCUAUAUGGCAAUGGCCAAAUUGAAGCAUGUAUACUGAUGAUUCAGGAAGCUAGGUUGAUCCAUGCAGCCUUAGAUGGAUGAGGCAGAUCAAGGUCACAGUAGCACUGCUCACCCAGAAAUUAUGGUGGUGAUCAAUGAGAGAAGUGCUGAAGGGAAGCAGCGGGUAUAGUCAUUCAAGCAUUAGAUCAAACAUGUAUGUCGUUGCUUCCCAGACCCAUGCAACAACCAUGCAUUGGAUCACAAGAGGCAAAAAAGGGGGUUCAAGAAACGUUUGAGCCUGGCUCAACUUUCGUAUAUCAAGCAUUGUGCGUUGCUGUCGUCCAUUACCUAUAAAAAGAAUAAAUGAAACUUCAUAUAUUAAACAAUGCAAACAAUAUGUACUAUUUCAUAACCUGCUUGUUUUGCUUCAAUGGCUAAAUAGCUUUGUGCUGAUGGUCUCAUACUAAUAUCCUUCCAGCUGAUUUGUGGUUAUUGGCCGUGUUACUUUAUUUAACACAAUUUGUGAAACUAAGAUUCUAUCUUAUUGAUAUUUAUA